rnacentral:rRNA from 1 species
UACGGAGGAUGCAAGCGUUAUCCGGAUUCAUUGGGUUUAAAGGGUGCGUAGGCGGAAUGAUAAGUCAGCGGUGAAAGCCUGCAGCUUAACUGUAGAAAUGCCAUUGAUACUGUCGUUCUUGAAUGCAGCUGAGGUAAGCGGAAUGUGUAAUGUAGCGGUGAAAUGCGUAGAUAUUACACAGAACGUCGAUUGCGUAGGCAGCUUACUAAACUGUGAUUGACGCUGAGGCACGAAAGCGUGGGGAUCAAACAGG